UCGACCUCGGAUCAGGC
rnacentral:rRNA from 1 species